GAUGCUGAUCAGGUGGUUCCUCAGUUUCUUUGAUAGUGUGUGGCAUAAUCUCUCACUGUGGUCUGUGCAGUAUGUAGAUAGCAAUGGAUUUUUCACCUUCAGUUCAUUUGGUAUGAUGGGAAGAGCAGACGUCUG